UUUAAACCCAUCUUCAAAAUUACACCAUUAGAAGUUUAGAACAUGCAAGCACCGACUCCUCCGACGGCAACAUUCAAGUUCUGCAACUCCUACACCGGCAAUCUGCAAGGAAAGAGGUGUGGCAGCCUUGUGUGACAAUGCUUCACAGUGGCCAUGAAUCGAUUGGAACGAUAUACUGAAAUAGAACGUCAGUGUCUGGGGUGUUUCCGAAGGCAUUUCCUGAAUCUGAAGCAAGAGAACUGGGCUCUCCUGCUGCAUCUACGGUGGAACUGAUUAUUGGUUCCGAACAACGCCGAGGUAAAACCCUAAACCUCGAAUCCAAUGGAAGGGAAACCCUAAGCCUAAUACUUCACGAAGGAGAAUAGAAGCAGUUGUAAAUAAAAGGGAGGGUAAGACGAGGAGGCACUCAACGGUGCUAUCCAAGACCGGCUUGGGCUAAUACCGUAUCCGGGAGCUUGCUCCGAAACAACAUCGCCCGAUGGAAAUGAAGACGAUAGAUAGUAAAGAAAGGAAAGUGAAACUGGGGGUUCGAUAUAAAAUGGUAAAAUUGUCACUUCAUCAUGCCUUAAGGGUAAUUUUAUCAAUUAACACUCUAAGGACAUCAUCAUUUGAUAGUACUCAACGAAAGGAGUGGGCUCUUUUGUAUUUGUUUAUAGACAGUAAGGGGGUUCGAGUAAUUUCCCAAAUCUGGAGUGGAUGUUGAGUUUCAAGAAUAAUGCAGUGGAGUUCUGAGUAAUUUGUCCUA